rnacentral:rRNA from 1 species
GCCAGACUCCUACGGGAGGCAGCAGUGAGGAAUAUUGGUCAAUGGGCGGGAGCCUGAGCCAGCCAAGUCGCGUGAAGGAAGAAGGUACUUAGUAUUGUAAACUUCUUUUGUCGGGGAACAAAGGCGGAGACGCGUCUCCGGAUGAGUGUACCCGAAGAAAAAGCAUCGGCUAACUCCGUGCCAGCAGCCGCGGUAAUACGGAGGAUGCGAGCGUUAUCCGGAUUUAUUGGGUUUAAAGGGUGCGUAGGCGGGACCUUAAGUCAGCGGUAAAAUUGCGGUGCUCAACGCCGUAGAGCCGUUGAAACUGGGGUUCUUGAGUGAGCGAGAAGUAUGCGGAAUGCGUGGUGUAGCGGUGAAAUGCAUAGAUAUCACGCAGAACUCCGAUUGCGAAGGCAGCAUACCGGCGCUCAACUGACGCUCAUGCACGAAAGUGUGGGUAUCGAACAGGAUUAGAUACCCGGGUA